rnacentral:rRNA from 2 species
GUUGAUAAGGUUAAGUGAAUAAGGGCGCACGGUGGAUGCCUUGGCACUAGGAGCCGAUGAAGGACGGGACUAACACCGAUAUGCUUUGGGGAGCUGU